AAGAGAAAAGUCUGGGUAACACCUCACCCCUGGUGCAGUGACCUGUCUGCACCUCUGAUGGCAGUCGGGCUACAACACACAGACACUGCUGGGCCCUCCUGGCAGAGUAGUGAGGACCAGGGCCCUGCAGUCCCUUCCCGGGCUCCAGCCCUGACUCUGCUUUGACAUGUCAGUGGGUGCAUACAUAUUUAUGAUUGUAUGACUCCUGAAGAAGACGUGAAGGAGACUGAAGGAACAGAACGACUCUGAGGAAACUUUCAACCAACAUGUGGUUGAAGACUCAAAGGACACUAUCAACCAACCUGACAUAAUUAACAUGUAUUCGACUUAACAAUAGCAAAGUAAACAUUCUUUUCAAGUACACAUGGAACAUUCACCAAAGUAAGUCACAUUCUAGGCCACAAAACACACCUCUGCAAAUGUAUAAGGACUGAAAUAACACAAAGCAUGUUCUCUGACCAUUAUAGCAUUACACUAGAAAUAAAACUAGAGAUACAGCCUCCAAAACUCUAAAUAAUUAGAAAUUUAAAAAUACACUCUAAAUAAUAACUCAUGGAUCAAAGAAGGAAUCACACAGGAAAUUCUAAAGUACUUUGAGUUAGACAAAUGAAAACACCACAUGUAAAAAUUUGUGUGAUACAGCUAAAGAAAUGUUUUAGGAACAUGUAUGACAUUAAUUACUUUUAAAGAAGAAAAGUUUCAACAGUGAUCUUAGCUUAAGCCACCUUAAGAAAUUAUAAAAAAGAAAGCAAGUUAAACACAAAGGAAGCACAAAGAAAGAAAUAAAGAUAAGAGCAGAAAUCAACAAUAUGGAAACCAGGAAAAUAAUAGGGAAAAUCCAUGAAACUAUAAUUUAUAAAUUUCUAUCUGUUAUGUUCAAUUAAAAAAGAGAGAGAGAGAAAAUACCAGUUACCAAUAUCAGAAAUGAAAGAGAAGAUUUUAUUAGAGAUCCAAUAGAAAUUAAAAGGUUAAUAAGGGAAUAAUAUGAACAACUUUAUACCAAUAAAUUUGAGAACUUACAUGAAAUCGAAAAACUGCCUGAAAGAUUCAAACUCCCAAAGCUCACUCAGGAAGAAAUGGGUAGUCCAAACAAUGCUAUACCUAUUAAAAAAUUAAAUUUGUGGCUAAAAACUUUCCAACAAAGAAAACUCCUAGUCCACAUGAGUUCAGUGGUGAAUUUUACCAAACACUUCAGGGAGGAAUAAUACCAAUUCCAGAGAAUUUUUUUUUCCAAAAAAUGGAAGGGGAUGGAAUAUUUUCCAAUUUGUUUUAUAAAUCCAGUAUUAACCUGAUACCAAAAUUAGACAAAGACAUUACAUGAAAAUAAAUCUACAGCCCAAAUAUCCCUCACAAACAGAGAUGCAAAAGCCCUUGGCAAAAUAGUAGUAAAUUAAAUUGAGCAAUAUAUAAAAAGGAUAACACAUAGUGAAGACGAGAGUUUAUCCUUGUAAGGUUAGUUCAGUAUUCAAAAAUUAAUCAAUGCAAUCACCAUAUCAACUGAUAAAAAGUGAUUAUCUCAAUAGAUGCAGAAAAAAGCACUUUGGAAAAAGUCAACAUUCAUUCAUAAAAGAAUCUCUCAUGAAACUAGAAAUAAUAGGGAAGUUCUUCAAUCUAAUAAAGGUCAACUAUGAAAAUGUAUAGCUAACAUCAUAUUUAAUGUAUAAAAGACUGAAUGCUUAUCCCUGAGAUCAGAAACAAGGCAAAGAUAUCCACCCUCACUACUAUUCAAAGGUGUACUGAAAGAAAGAACAAAAAAUAAAUAAUACUAAGAUUAGAAAGGAAGAAAUGAAAAUUGUCUUCACUUGCAGAUGACAUGAUUAUCUAGGUAGGAAAUCCUAAAGACUCUACAAACAAUAUGUCACACCAGUACCCAAACCACAAAACACAGAGAUAAGUCUAACAAAAUACAUGCAAGAUUUAUGUGCUCACAUUUAUAAAACAUUGAUGAGAGAAACUGAACUAGACCUACACAAAUGGAAAGACAUGCUGCAUACGUGGAUUUGUCAGUGUUGUCUAGAUGUCAUUUCUCCCCAGAUUGAUCUACAGGUUCAAUGCAAUCUCAGUCAGAGAAUCAGCAGUUGGGUGUGAGCUGGCGCACGCUCUGGACACGCCUGACCACUCCAGUGAGGCUCGCGCCCAGGGCAUCCUCAACCCUGAAGUGGUCCUCCCAGAAUAUAAACUGGAACACGAUGCAGGCCUCCUUUAAAAUGCUCGUGACGUUUCCACGUUGCUUUGAGAAUCAAGCUCAGAAUCCAAGCAGCCAGAAACACAAGCCUUGUGUUUCAUGACCUGGCUCCGCCUUCGCUUAGCCUUCAUCUGCUUACUCUCCCCCAAGGAGGCUCCAGGCUUGCUGAAGUUUUCUAUUUUGGGACAGAUUGAUUUAGGAAACUCUUUCUGUCACUAAGUGGAAAUCUUUCGUCCUGUUACGCUCACCCUGGAUUAGACUCCCAGAGACCACAGAAGUACAAUCUCUCAUGAGAGCCUUUAAGCACUGAAAUGUGACUGUUCCCUCCGAGUUUUUUCUCAUGUUUGCUAAAUGUCCUCUGUUAACUAAGGUAUUCCUUGAUGACUUGCUUUGCUGAGUUAUUGCCCUUUUCUCAGGAAGUUCCCAUCAAUAAAUGUCUAUUUUAGUA